rnacentral:pre_miRNA from 1 species
AGUGGAAUUGCUGGGUCAUAUGGUAACUCUAUGUUUAAUUUUUGAGGAAGUGCCAACCUGUUUUCCAAAGUAGCAAGACUAUUUUACAUUCCCACCAGCAAC